GACAGAGGAGGCAAGCGUUGUCCGGAUUGACUGGGCGUAAAGCGUCCGCAGGUGGCAUGCCAAGUGGGGUGUGAAAGCCGGUGGCUUAACCGCCGGAGGCCAUCCCAAACUGGCGCGCUGGAGCCGGGCAGAGGGUGACGGAAUUGCCGGUGUAGUGGUGAAAUGCGUAGAGAUCGGCAGGAAGACCAAGGGGGAAGCCAGUCACCUGGGCCCGUGCCUGACACUCAUGGACGACCGCGUGGGGAGCGAACCGG
rnacentral:rRNA from 1 species